rnacentral:rRNA from 1 species
CUACGGGAGGCUCCAGUGGGGAAUAUUGGACAAUGGGGGAAACCCUGAUCCAGCAAUGCCGCGUGUGUGAAGAAGGCCUGCGGGUUGUAAAGCACUUUCGGUUGGGAGGACUGCUUCUAGCACUAAUAUUGUUGGAAGUUGACGUUACCUUCAGAAGAAGCACCGGCUAACUCCGUGCCAGCAGCCGCGGUAAUACGGAGGGUGCAAGCGUGAAUCGGAAUUACUGGGCGUAAAGCGCGCGUAGGCGGCUAGAUCAGUCGGGUGUGAAAACCCCGGGCUUAACCUGGGAACUGCAUCCGAUACUGUCUAGCUUGAGUACAGGAGAGGAGAGUGGAAUUCCACAUGUAGCGGUGAAAUGCGUAGAUAUGUGGAGGAACACUAAUGGCGAAGGCAGCUCUCUGGCCUGAUACUGACGCUGAGGUGCGAAAGCGUGGGGAGCAAACAGGAUUAGAUACCCGAGUAGUC